CCCCUAGACGUUCUGGGCUGCACGCGCGCUACAAUAAUACGCACAGCGAGUAUCACCGAGCUCGAAAGGGCAAGGUAAACAAUAGAAAAGGUACUGUAAUGGUUAUAGAUCCUUGUAAUUAUUGAUCUUCAACGAGGAAUUCCUAGUAAGUAUGUGUCAUCAUCACGCACUGAUUACGUCCCUGCCCUUUGUACACACCGUCCGUCGCUCCUACCGAUUGAGUGAGCCGAUGAAACUGCCGGAUGUGGACUAUUCAUAGUCUGCAGAAGAUAUUUGAAUCGUAGCGCUUAGAGGAAGGAGAAGUCGUAACA
rnacentral:rRNA from 1 species